rnacentral:lncRNA from 1 species
CAGACGAGCUGAACAAUUGACAGCUCUAUCUUAUUUUCAUAGAUAAGAUGAAAAGAUAGAAAAUGAUGUUUAGAUAAGUUUGAAAUGACUAAGCCUCCCUCCCCACCUCCAAAUAGUUUGAUGUCAGUCAAUUUGGAAGGAGAUCGCUAGAGGGAUGCUCAAGAUAAAUUUAACAGGAUUAAAUAGAAAGUUUUAAAAUUGAAUUUAAGAAAUAAAUUUCACUGGCACAAAGUAGGGAAGAAUAUGACUAAAACUGAGGGAAGUUGACAUACUGUGAGCUGUGCCUCAAAAACAGGAGGAAGAGCUGUAGCUCAGAACAGAAUGUGGAGAUUGGAUGUGUUUGUAAUAGUGUCGCACCUCUUUUUACCUCCUAUCCACACAUGUCAUAGUAGGUCAUCUGUUUGGCUGGAGAUUGUAAAAAACUUUUAAUAAGAGGAAGCUAUAUCAAAGCAAGAAAUUACUAAAGGAGGAAAGUCAAAUGACACAAUAUGGAAAAAAUUCCUAAGUGAAGCUUCCUAGGGACUGAAGUUUAUAGAAAUCUCUGAAAUGCAGGACAGUUUAUCAAGGCAGACAGAGGCCCUUCAUAGAUAACUUCUGGAGGAAAAAUAAACCAAGAACUUAAAAACUAUAAAAGAAGUUUCUGUCUGAGUUCAAAUGUUGAACUUCAGGGAAGUCAUAAAGGAAAGAGACCUCGCAAAUGUCAAGCAUGUGGGAAAAAUUUUAAAUAUCAAUCUGAUAUUAUUAAACACUUGAGAAUUCACCCUGGAGAGAAACCUUAUGAAUGUAA